rnacentral:rRNA from 1 species
GACGAACGCUGGCGGCGUGCUUAACACAUGCCAGUCGAACGGAAAGGCCCUGCUUUUGUGGGGCGCUCGUGUGGCGAAAGGGUGAGUAACACGUGAGUAAACUGCACUUGACUUUGGGAUAACUUCAGGAAACUGGGGCUCAUAUCCGAUAUGAGCUCCUGCUGCCUGGGGGGGGUUGGAAAGUUUCGGCUGUUGGGGAUGGACUCGCGGGUUAUCGGCUUGUUUGUGAGGUAGGGGUAUACGAAGGCUUUGAGGGGUAGCCGGCCUGAGAGGCUGACCAGCGACAUGGGGACUGAGAGACGGGCCAGACUCAUACGGGAGGCAGCAGUGGAGAGUAUUACGGAACGGGCGGGAGCCAGAGACAGCAAUGCCGCGUUCGGGAUGAUGUCCUUCGAGUUAUAAACAGCUGUGUACGGAGAUAUAGCGGUAUUGACGGUAAUGGGUAAAGAAGCACCGGCUAACUACGUG